GACGAACGCUGGCGGCGUGCUUAACACAUGCAAGUCGAACGGAAAGGCCCCUUCGGGGGUACUCGAGUGGCGAACGGGUGAGUAACACGUGAGUAACCUGCCCUUGACUUCGGGAUAACUUCAGGAAACUGGGGCUAAUACCGGAUAGGAAUCCUUGCUGCAUGGUGGGGGUUGGAAAGCUUCGGCGGUUUUGGAUGGACUCGCGGCUUAUCAGCUUGUUGGUGGGGUAGUGGCUUACCAAGGCUUUGACGGGUAGCCGGCCUGAGAGGGCGACCGGCCACAUUGGGACUGAGAUACGGCCCAGACUCCUACGGGAGGCAGCAGUGGGGAAUAUUGCACAAUGGGCGGAAGCCUGAUGCAGCAACGCCGCGUGCGGGAUGACGGACUUCGGGUUGUAAACCGCUUUCAGCAGGGGCGAAGCUUGUGGUGAAGGUACCUGCAGAAGAAGCACCGGCUAACUACGUG
rnacentral:rRNA from 1 species